rnacentral:lncRNA from 1 species
CCCCACCUCCUUUUCCAUGCCCCAGAUCCUGCUAUCAGUACAGCAUUGCCCUUUCCUACAUUGACAACUAGGGAGGACAAGAGCAGAUGGUCCCAAUAACAGAACAUUUUGAAUUAGCAUCAGCCCCUUUGUCACUGCAGGAGGAACGUAACGAGCAGUGGAGGCUUGGCUUCUUCCUGCCCUGACCAUCAGUGAUCAGAAGCUCACCCACCCGGCCAGGAAAGAAUGCUCAACGGUUGGUCCAUAUGUCUUUUUGGGAGGUUGGUUCUCUCCUCUCUGAUUCCUUCCAAGACUAGGGAGGAGAGAGAGAGAGACUGGUAAUAUUGCUGUAGCCUCUGAGAUACUGCCAGUGGCCUCAUGUCACCUGCCAGCAAGAUUUUCUCAUCCUUUGUUGAGCCAGGCUCAAUGCCACUUCUCAGCAGUUGAGUCCUGCCAAGGCAAAGCAGGAACCCCCUUGCACUGCAAACCGGUGUUAGGAGUUGGGGCUGUCUUGGUGACUGCUUUGAAGCAAUCUGUGUGUGGCCGUAAGCUUUAGGAAAAUAACAGUAAUGUUCCUUGAUAGCUGGAAAUCUCCCUCCAGUCAUUGGGAUGCAAUACCCAAGAUGUUUUGGAAAUGUGAUACUAUGCACCAAGUAGAAGGGGAAAGCUUAGACCAGUGUUCUUCAACCUUAGGCUGCCCGAUGUUGUUAGAUUACAGCCCCCAUCAUCCAGAGCCAGUUUAGCCAACAGUCAAGGGAGAUGGGAGAUGUAGUCCAACAGCCUACGGUUCAAGGACACUGGUUUAGAGACAGUGUCAUCCUUUGACUCUGUCUGAGAGGAAAGAGUUUAAGCUGUUGCCACCUUGGGGAGCUAAAACAAACUCUCUGGGAACCUGAGACUCUUAUCUGCAUUUUGGUUGCUGCCGGUAGGAGUCUGUUUGCAUCCAGAAACAACAAAUAAUCUACUCUUGGUUGUUUUUGCUGCAACAGACUAACAUGGUUACCCUCUGAAGAGUCUUGCUUCCAGCAGGCUAUGCUUGUAUAUUUGUGAAUAAAGCAAAGAAUACAAAGACAUCAGAAGUCGCCAAAGUGCUCAUAUCCAAGGAAACUAAGCCAGUCAAACUGUCCAUGGGACUUUUUGCUCUUUGGGGAAAUUCGUGGAGCAGAGCAUUAGGAUCCAGUCCAAUUCUUGGUAUUGUACAGAAUAUAGGCAGAAGCCAACAGAAGCUUGGGUUGGAGAGUUGCCUUUGAAGUAUCCCAACAUCAAAGCAAUAAAUAAAUGAGUAAAAAAAAUAUAUAUUCAGGUCUUUGGAAAGUUCAUUUCUUCCAGGCCAGAGCUCCCAUAGUAUAUAAAUUUGAUUCACCCCUGUACCAGUCUCCUGUUUUCUCUGUUCUCCUUUCAAAGCCAUGCCCAGGAAACUUUUCAAGAGUGGCUCCCAAGUUGGUCUCAUGGUGAAGGCAAAGGGAAUCUGACUGGACAAAAAAGGAAGCCUUAGAGCAAAGAACCCAAAAAAGUAAAGGAUGCCUUUCAGUAUGGAAUUGCUCUGGUGAGAGUAGGAUGCUUCUGAGUUGCACAGCUUUCUCCCAAUA